rnacentral:rRNA from 1 species
AUUGAACGCUGGCGGCAGGCCUAACACAUGCAAGUCGAACGAGUGGCGGACGGGUGAGUAAUGUCUGGGAAACUGCCUGAUGGAGGGGGAUAACUACUGGAAACGGUAGCUAAUACCGCAUACCAUCGGAUGUGCCCAGAUGGGAUUAGCUUGUUGGUGGGGUAACGGCUCACCAAGGCGACGAUACCUAGCUGGUCUGAGAGGAUGACCACCAACACUGGAACUGAGACACGGUCCAGACUCCUACUUGAGGCAGCAUGGGGGAAUAUUGCACAAUGGGCGGAAGCCUGAUGCAGCCAUGCCGCGUGUAUGAAGAAGGCCUUCGGGUUGUAAAGUACUUUCAGCGGGGAGGCGUUACCCGCAGAAGAAGCACCGGCUAACUCCGUGCCAGCAGCCGCGUAAUUC